rnacentral:rRNA from 1 species
GAUGAACGCUGGCGGCGUGCUUAACACAUGCAAGUCGAACGGGAAUUACUUUAUUGAAACUUCGGUCGAUUUAAUUUAAUUCUAGUGGCGGACGGGUGAGUAACGCGUGGGUAACCUGCCUUGUACAGGGGGAUAACAGUCAGAAAUGACUGCUAAUACCGCAUAAGCGCACAGGACCGCAUGGUCCGGUGUGAAAAACUCCGGUGGUAUAAGAUGGACCCGCGUUGGAUUAGCUUGUUGGUGGGGUAACGGCCCACCAAGGCGACGAUCCAUAGCCGGCCUGAGAGGGUGAACGGCCACAUUGGGACUGAGACACGGCCCAGACUCCUACGGGAGGCAGCAGUGGGGAAUAUUGCACAAUGGGGGAAACCCUGAUGCAGCGACGCCGCGUGAAGGAAGAAGUAUCUCGGUAUGUAAACUUCUAUCAGCAGGGAAGAAAAUGACGGUA